AGCCCGCCNNNNNNNNNNNNNNNAGCAUGUUUCAUUUGUCCCCAUACACACAUUCCCCCAAAGAAAAAAAAAAAAAAAAAAAGACAAAAAAAAGACAAAAAAAAAGAAAAGAAAAAAGCAACUCUUCCUGCCUUUACCAAAGGGCAGCGAGUUGCUAACACGGCACCUUCGGAGCUGCCCGCCGGACUUCUCCGGACACCAACACCAAACAAAGCCAUUGAAUUCCAACGAGCACGGUUCGGACCAUGCUUUCCAGUAAAAGUUCUCCCGCCGGCCUCUUCCCACCUCCUUUCCAGGAGGCACCAAACACUCUGGGGUUAUUAGAAAGGGGCUUCAGCUACAUUCAAGACAGAAUUUGAGUGCAGAUCCUGGAUCCCACGAGAGGAGCGGGAUGGAUGGUAAAUGGCAGCUAGGUACGUCCCGGGCAGGGAUAUCCAUCUUUUCCCAGCUUCGGGCAGGACCAGGCUUCCUGCGAGCCGGUCCCGGCCGUGGGGAGGGAAAGGACCAGCCGUGGGGAGGGAAACGGUGCCCCAGACGCACCCACUGACGAGCGGGACCUCGGCACCGCUGGAGCCCACGGAAGCGGAACCCGGACCUGGCCUCGCCGGGGCCCGCGCCCAGGAGCCAAAACGGAGACGCCACGAGGAACGGGGCGGGUACGGUGCACCGGUGCUGGGAGCCCCACGGCACCCUGUCCUGAGCGGGGCUGGGCUAGCACCCGUGGGUGCCUGGGACCCCAUCCUGAGUGGGGCCUGGCCGGCACCCACUGGUGCCCAGGGAGCCCUGCCGCAUCCUGUCCCCAGUGGGGCCUGGCCAGCACCCACUGGUGCGCAGGGAGCCCAUCCUGAGUGGGGCCUGGCCAGCACCCGCCCAGGGAGCCCAGCCCCAUCCCGCCCCCGGCAGGGGCGAGCCAGCAGCCCCUCACGCCUGGAGCUGGGCUCUGUCCCGAGUGGGGCCCCGCCAGCACCCACUCGUGUCCAGCAGCGGGCCCCGUCCCGAGCGGAGAAGACGCUCCUGUGGACGAGAAAAAGCAAGGCGCUGACCACCAUCCAGCAGGCAGCCCAGCAGAGGAAGAACACGAGGGUGCAUCGCCUCCAGAUUUUGAGCCGCAGCCUCUUUAAGCCGGGGAUGCCCCUCAUCGCCGAGGCCGGGCUGGGCCGGGUGGGCGCCUCAGGCGGUGCAGCCCCGAGCGAGCGGCCGCCGCCGCCGCGCUCCCUGCCUCCUCACACACUUGUCCCGCUCCAUGCCGGCGGCCCUCGGCGGGCGCCCCCGCCCCGCCGCCGCUGCUCGCCCCCGUGCCGG
rnacentral:lncRNA from 1 species